rnacentral:rRNA from 1 species
UACAGAGGUCCCAAGCGUUGUUCGGAUUCACUGGGCGUAAAGGGUGCGUAGGUGGCUUGGCAAGUUUGACGUGAAAUCUCCGGGCUUAACCCGGAAAAUGCGUUGAAUACUGUUUGAGCUGGAGGUUUGGAGGGGGGACUGGAAUUCUUGGUGUAGCAGUGAAAUGCGUAGAUAUCAAGAGGAACACCAGUGGCGAAGGCGAGUCCCUGGACAACACCUGACACUGAGGCACGAAAGCUAGGGGAGCAAACAGG